rnacentral:lncRNA from 1 species
UAUAGGUGGGUGCACAUGGGAGGGUGAGUGUAUGGAUUGGAUAUAGGUGGGUGCAUAUGGGAGGGUGAGCAUAUGGAUUGGAUAUAGGUGGGUGCAUAUGGGAGGGUGAGUGUAUGGAUUGGAUAUAGGUGGGUAUAUAUGGGAGAGUGAGCAUAUGGAUUGGAUAUAGGUGGGUGCAUAUGGGGGACAGUGAAUGUCUGGAUUGGAUACAGGUGGGUGCAUAUUGGGGGAGUGAGUGUCUGGAUUAGAUACAGGUGGAUGCACAUGGGAGGAAUGAGUGUACAGAACGAAUACAGGUGGAUGCAUAUAUUGGGAGUGAGUAUACAGAGAGGAUACAGGUGGAUUGAGUUGUUACAACCAACGACAGGAAGCACAUGCAAGGCUCUAGGCAUUGCACAAAGCACUCCAUAGGCAAAAUCACACUGGCGCCAAUAGCAAUCCUGGGAGAUGUACUCAUUAUUAAUAAUAUUGUUGUCAUUUUAUAGAGAAGGAACACAGGCUCAGACAUCAGUGCCAUAUCUGAAGACAUUCAGCUAAUAACAGGAUGGAGUCCAAUCUGAAACAACUGUCACGCUGAGCCUAAUUGCUGAAGAUGGUUGAAGGCACCAGGAGGCUGGAGUUUCCUGGAGGUGGUUUGUGGCCAACCGUCAAUUACUUGGGCUGCUGUGCAGUGGGGAUAGAAGGAUGAUUAGAAUCCACAGACAACCCAUUGGCCUUUGUUUACCAUUAACUUCUGUUUUCUCCACCAGCCAAGCUCCUCCAGACCCAGGAGAUGGCUCUUCCCUCUGUGUAGCACACUCUUUCCAGUCAAGGGGUCUUGCACUGCUAUUUCCCCUUCUGCUUUGCUUGGUUCAUUCUUACUGACCCUCCAAAUACUGAAGGAAUGAAUGGAGAAAUAAGUAAAUGAGAGAUGUGGCCAAGAGUCUCCAAGAGAGGAAAUUAAAAAAUCCUAUACCUGUGAGGAACUGGCCCACUUGCAAAA